rnacentral:rRNA from 1 species
ACACAUGCAAGUCGAGGGGUAACGAUGGCUUCGGCCAUGCGACGACCGGCGGACGGGUGAGUAUCGCGUUUGUAACCUGCCUCUAACCGGAGAAUAGCGCGAAGAAAUUCGGAUUAAUGCUCCAUAUUACUAUAAGAUGGCAUCAUUUUAUAGUGAAAGCCCCGGCGGUUAGAGAUGGGCAUGCGUGACAUUAGUUUGUUGGUGAGGUAACGGCUCACCAAGACCACGAUGUCUAGGGGGUCUGAGAGGAUGGUCCCCCACACUGGUACUGAGACACGGACCAGACUCCUACGGGAGGCAGCAGUGAGGAAUAUUGGUCAAUGGGCGAAAGCCUGAACCAGCCAUGCCGCGUGUAGGAUGACAGCGCUACGCGUUGUAAACUUCUUUUGUACGGGAAGAAACACUUCUACUUGUAGAAGCUUGACGGUACCGUACGAAUAAGCAUCGGCUAACUCCGUGCCAGCAGCCGCGGUAAUACGGAGGAUGCAAGCGUUAUCCGGAUUUAUUGGGUUUAAAGGGUACGUAGGCGGGAAAUUAAGUCAGUGGUGAAAUCCUGCAGCUCAACUGUAGAACUGUCAUUGAUACUGGUUUCCUUGAAUGUAGUUGAGGUAGGCGGAAUGUGUAAUGUAGCGGUGAAAUGCUUAGAUAUUACACAGAACACCGAUUGCGAAGGCAGCUUACUAAACUACGAUUGACGCUGUGGUACGAAAGCGUGGGGAGCGAACAGGAUUAGAUACCCUGGUAGUCCACGCUGUAAACGAUGAUCACUCGUUGUUGGCGAUAUACUGUCAGCGACUGAGCGAAAGCAUUAAGUGAUCCACCUGGGGAGUACGACCGCAAGGUUGAAACUCAAAGGAAUUGACGGGGGCCCGCACAAGCGGAGGAACGUGUGGUUUAAUUCGAUGAUACGCGAGGAACCUUACCUGGGCUUAAAUGCAGAACGACGGACCGGGAAACUGGUCUUUCUUCGGACGGACUGCAAGGUGCUGCAUGGCUGUCGUCAGCUCGUGCCGUGAGGUGUCGGGUUAAGUCCCAUAACGAGCGCAACCCUCAUC